rnacentral:rRNA from 1 species
UACGGGGGGGCAAGCGUUGUUCGGAAUUACUGGGCGUAAAGAGCGUGUAGGCGGCCAGGUAGGUCGGUUGUGAAAACUGGAGGCUCAACCUUCAGAGGUCGACCGAAACCAUCUGGCUAGAGUCCGGGAGAGGAGAGUGGAAUUCCUGGUGUAGCGGUGAAAUGCGCAGAUAUCAGGAAGAACACCCGUGGCGAAAGCGGCUCUCUGGAACGGUACUGACGCUGAGACGCGAAAGCGUGGGGAGCGAACAGG